rnacentral:lncRNA from 1 species
UAGGACUCUUCCUAAGUCAGAAAACAUGCCCUCGUCACGUUUUCCACUCUAUUGUGAGCUCUCACGCGUUUUUCUCCUCAAGUCACAAAAGAGAAGGGUGCUGCCAAUUUAUAACACAUGAAAACAGCCCCAUUACACAAUAGUUGCCUAGUUUUUAGGCUUGCACUUGCCCACUACUUUAUCCCAAGUAUAGUUGACACCCCCAACUACUAGGAACAUGUUUAGAUAUGGGAUCAUAGCCUCAAUUCGUGCUAACUCCUGCCAGCAUAAUAGACAAAGGUCAACCGCUGCCCAUGUGCACAGCAUGUGCCGGUAACCGCCGUUUGACUUUGUCCAUUCUCAUGUUGCUGCCCAAUUUUGUGUGUUGGCUUGGACCAGGCGCCAAUGCCAUUGUCUCCAGCUAAAUUGUGCCCCAAUUUACCUUAAAUUUGCCCACGAACUUGGCCCUUUUGCCGCAACUCGAACCCACGCCAAAUUUGCCCGCACAUUGCCUUUCCGUUGCACAUUUGCUUGUCUUUUCCCAUCUGUUUCUGCCAUGCCUUGGCAUCAAUGCCUCAUGCCUUGAUGCUAUAAUCAAGAUCAAGUGCCAUCCGUAGCCCGCAACUCAUUGUCAAGCCCUUUCCAAGCUGCCUCGCAUCCGUUCAAAGUCUUAGCCAUCGCUUGCCCGUUUCCCUUUUUGACUUUUGGCGCCACUCUUGCACCAAUUUUGCAACAGUCUUGCUGCCUCAUGACAACACUCUUGUUGUCUCGCCGAGUUCAAUUGUUGGAGGUCUAACAAUUAACUUGUGGAGUUAGCUUUUAGGACUGGCAACAUUUAGGUCCUUUACUGUGCUUUUGACCUUUAAUGCUGCUGGAUACAAUUAUAAUGCCCUUCCAUCAAGCUCUUGCCAAGCUACCUCGCAUCCUUUCAAAGCCUAGCCAUCGCUUGCCCGUUUCCCUUUUCGACUUUUGGCGCCACUCUUGCACCAACUUUGCAACACUCUUGCUGCCUCAUGACAACACUCUUGUUGUCUCGCCGAGUUCAAUUGUUGGAGGUCUA